GACGAACGCUGGCGGCGUGCCUAAUACAUGCAAGUAGAACGCACAGUUUAUACCGUAGCUUGCUACACCAUAAACUGUGAGUUGCGAACGGGUGAGUAACGCGUAGGUAACCUGCCUGGUAGCGGGGGAUAACUAUUGGAAACGAUAGCUAAUACCGCAUAAUAUUAAUUAUUGCAUGAUAAUUGAUUGAAAGAUGCAAUUGCAUCACUACCAGAUGGACCUGCGUUGUAUUAGCUAGUAGGUGAGGUAACGGCUCACCUAGGCGACGAUACAUAGCCGACCGGAGAGGGUGAGCGGCCACACUGGGAGGGAGACACGGCCCAGAGGGCUACGGGAGGCAGCAGGAGGGAAUCUGCGGGAAGGGGCGAAAGUCUGACCGAGCAAGGCCGCGGGAGGGAAGAGGGGUGUCGGAUCGGAAAGCUCGGUUGUAAGAGAAGAACGGGUGUGAGAGUGGAAAGUUCACACUGUGACGGUAUCUUACCAGAAAGGGACGGCUAACUACGUG
rnacentral:rRNA from 1 species